rnacentral:lncRNA from 1 species
GGGGUCUGGGAGGAGGUGCCCUCUGGCGCUCCGCCACCGCGGGGCUGCAGGCAGGGAGCCACGGCGUGGGCAGUGGCGGAGCAGGGUGUCUAGGGGCCCCCUUCAUUCGCAGCGGCUGUUCCUCAAACCCCAAGCCCAGUUGUUGACAGGCUCCUUGUGAAAUGGAGUUUGGCAUCCUCAGCGCCCAACCGAGUGGAAGUUUCCAUGAUGAGGAAGUUGUGUGACAUGGGGGUUCGGAAAAG